CAGUCGCCGCGGUAAUACGUAGGGUGCAAGCGUUAAUCGGAAUUACUGGGCGUAAAGCGUGCGCAGGCGGUUAUAUAAGACAGAUGUGAAAUCCCCGGGCUCAACCUGGGAACUGCAUUUGUGACUGUAUAGCUAGAGUACGGCAGAGGGGGAUGGAAUUCCGCGUGUAGCAGUGAAAUGCGUAGAUAUGCGGAGGAACACCGAUGGCGAAGGCAAUCCCCUGGGCCUGUACUGACGCUCAUGCACGAAAGCGUGGGGAGCAAACAGGAUUAGAUAUCCCCGUAGUCCCUGUCUCUUAUAC
rnacentral:rRNA from 1 species